rnacentral:rRNA from 1 species
GAUGAACGCUGGCGGCGUGCCUAAUACAUGCAAGUCGAGCGGACAGACGAGGAGCUUGCGCCUCUGACGUUAGCGGCGGACGGGUGAGUAACGCGUGGAUCACCUACCUAUAAGACGGGGAUAACUUCGUGAAACCGGAUCUAAUACCGGAUAAUAUAUUGAACCGCAUGGUGCAAUGGAUAAAGACGGUUUUGCUGUCACUUAUAGAUGGAUCCGCGCCGCAUUAGCUAGUUGGUAAGGUAACGGCUUACCAAGGCUACGAUGCGUAGCCGAACUGAGAGGGUGAUCGGCCACACUGGAACUGAGACACGGUCCAGACUCCUACGGGAGGCAGCAGUAGGGAAUCUUCCGCAAUGGGCGAAAGCUUGACGGAGCAACGCCGCGUGAGUGAUGAAGGUCUUCGGAUCGUAAAACUCUGUUAUUAGGGAAGAACAAAUGUGUAAGUAACUAUGCACGUCUUGACGGUACCUAAUCAGAAAGCCACGGCUAACUACGUG